rnacentral:tRNA from 1 species
GCGGGUGUAGCUCAUGUGGUAGAGCGACUGCCUUCCAAGCAGUAGGCGGACAGUUCGAGCCUGUUCAUCCGCU